GGCCUCGGGGUCGAGUGA
rnacentral:siRNA from 1 species